GAUGAAGAACGUAGCGAAAUGCGAUAAGUAGUGUGAAUUGCAGAAUUCAGUGAAUCAUCGAAUCUUUGAACGCACAUUGCGCCCCUUGGUAUUCCAUGGGGCAUGCCUGUUCGAGCGUCAUUUACCCCCUCAAGCUCAGCUUGGUGUUGGGUGUCUGUCCCCGCCUCACCGCGGGGACUCGCCUCAAAAUCAUUGGCGGCCGGUACGUUGGCUUCGAGCGCAGCAGAAACGCGAACUCGAGGCCCGGCGGAUCGGCGACCAGAAGUCACUUCUUCACAGUUUGACCUCGGAUCAGGUAGGGAUACCCGCUGAACUUAAGCAUAUCAAUAAGCGGAGGA
rnacentral:misc_RNA from 1 species